CCUACGGGAGGCAGCAGUGAGGAAUAUUGGUCAAUGGCCGGAACUCUGAACCAGCCAAGCCGCGUGAAGGACGAAGGUGCCAAGCAUUGUAAACUUCUUUUGUCAAGGGACAAAAUCAGGCUCGAGAGCCUGACCGAGGGUACUUGAAGAAAAAGCAUCGGCUAACUCCGUGCCAGCAGCCGCGGUAAUACGGAGGAUGCGAGCGUUAUCCGGAUUUAUUGGGUUUAAAGGGUGGCUAGGCGGGCCUUUAAGGUAGCGGGAAAAGCCCGGGGCUCAACCCCGGCGAGCCGUGGAAACUGGGGGGCUUGAGAUGUCGAGAGGUAGGCGGAAUGCGCAGUGUAGCGGUGAAAUGCUUAGAUAUCGCGCAGAACUCCGAUUGCGAAGGCAGCAUACCGGCG
rnacentral:rRNA from 1 species